rnacentral:rRNA from 1 species
GCACAGAGAGCUUGCUCUCGGGUGACGAGCGGCGGACGGGUGAGUAAUGUCUGGGAAACUGCCUGAUGGAGGGGGAUAACUACUGGAAACGGUAGCUAAUACCGCAUAAUGUCGCAAGACCAAAGUGGGGGACCUUCGGGCCUCAUGCCAUCAGAUGUGCCCAGAUGGGAUUAGCUAGUAGGUGGGGUAACGGCUCACCUAGGCGACGAUCCCUAGCUGGUCUGAGAGGAUGACCAGCCACACUGGAACUGAGACACGGUCCAGACUCCUACGGGAGGCAGCAGUGGGGAAUAUUGCACAAUGGGCGCAAGCCUGAUGCAGCCAUGCCGCGUGUGUGAAGAAGGCCUUCGGGUUGUAAAGCACUUUCAGCGGGGAGGAAGGCGAUAAGGUUAAUAACCUUGUCGAUUGACGUUACCCGCAGAAGAAGCACCGGCUAACUCCGUGCCAGCAGCCGCGGUAAUACGGAGGGUGCAAGCGUUAAUCGGAAUUACUGGGCGUAAAGCGCACGCAGGCGGUCUGUCAAGUCGGAUGUGAAAUCCCCGGGCUCAACCUGGGAACUGCAUUCGAAACUGGCAGGCUAGAGUCUUGUAGAGGGGGGUAGAAUUCCAGGUGUAGCGGUGAAAUGCGUAGAGAUCUGGAGGAAUACCGGUGGCG